CAUUCUGAAGGAAAUCAGCCCUGAGUGCUCACUGGAAGGACAGAUUGUGAAGCUGAGGCUCCAAUAUUUUGGCCACCUCAUGAGAAGAGAAGACUCCCUGGAAAAGAGUCUUCGUUUUUGCCGUAGCCCCAAAUAAUGCCACAUUAUUUUCUCCUGGAACGCAGCUGCCGCCUGUAAUAACAAAUAACAAAGCUCAAAAUGUGUUAGGGGUCUAUAAACAUCUUACGAGUGCAGAAGUCCCUGUAAGGGAUUUGACUGGUGUUAACACAUGUUGUGCACACACAUAUAUAUUGCUCAGCUUGCCAGGUGUCCGUCCUCUUGCAUUGCAACAAAAAUAGAUUGCAGGGUUCUGAACGGCUUUUGUCCUAGUUGUAUCGAAUCCAGGAUUAAAAUAAUAAGCAAUGUGUUGGCAUAAGGACACUGGGCUCUGAUGAUUAAUUCUCUCCUCCCCGUCAGAGGUCAUGUUAGCUCAAGAUCGGUGUGUUGCAAUGUCCUUUCCUUCCUUCCUUCCUCUCUGCCUGUUGGGAUCUUCUGUUGUGCUCAGAAAAGUCUUCUACAAGCAAGGUUAUUAUACUUUAGUAGGCAAGGCAAAGCAAAAACCUCAAUUUAAUGGGAAGAUUAGUCUUUGUAUUUUGCUAAUUACAAAACUCUCCCCUCCCACACAAGCUGCUUUUCAUUCUGAGAGCCUCAUUAGUGUUUUUAAUAUCCCCCUCUCCUUAAAUUAAAUAGAGUCAUAGAAUUGGAGAGUUGGAAGGGAUCCUGAGGAUCACCUAUUAGUCCAACCCCCUGCAAUGCAGGAAAAUGCAGCUGUCCCAUACAAGGAUUGAACCUACAUCCUUGACAUUAUCACCACCACACUCUAACCAACUAAGCUUUCCAGGCUGCUGCAUAUAUUUGCUGGUAGAGGUCCUGUACUCCUGGCAAGCAAAAGUUGGGUCCAGCUGUUUGGCAGCUAGUACAGGACAUGGAGCAAAGGGAAAGGCAAGGAAAUGGUAUUUCAAAGAACCAUUGACACAGCAGUGCUAGAUUUCCCCCGCACAGUUGAGGGGCACCAAAUGGAGAAGACCCAUAACAGAGAAAAUCCAUUUGGGAGCACCAAAUUUUGGCAUUCUGCAGGGCGCCAUAUGAUGCAGAGAUUACCAAAGUCUUCCCCUGCUUUUCCUGAGACGGGAUCUAGUUUUGAUCUUUUUGUCUCCCCAUAUAUUAACUGUACAGUACUAUUUCUUAGCACGUAACUUGUAGCGUUUUAUUCUUUCGCAUUUUCCUUUAAAGAAAUCUGAUUUGAUGUUGUCAUUGCUGUCCUUCGAUCGUUGUUUUUUUAAGAGGACUUCCGGGUUAGCGCCAUCGGCGAAUGGCGGAGUUCCUCCGACCGGAGGAACUGGCUCUGUGGAAACUGGGUUUUCCCGCCGCGGCAAAGGUGGGGACCCGCUAGAAAUCCCAGGUGGAGGAAGCCUGGGAACGUGGGGUUCGGCAGGGCACCAGGAGCGCCCCCCCUACUCACGGGGAACCCCUUUUUGGGAUUCCGGAGUGAAGUGGGGUGAGCAGCGCGGUGCUGCGAACUGACUGCUACUUUCACGGAGUGAAGCCGCACAGCCAUCGCCGGAGAGCGCUGACUUUUUCCUGUGGACAAUUGGACUUAAAACAAGUACCCGUGAGUAGAAACAGAAAAUUGGAUCAAGAAAUAUCUUAAUUUGACAUCGAAGCGGGAAGGUUCAAAACAGGAAGUCCGCCUUCCGCUUUUUGUAUAUAGACUAAAGCAAAAACCUUGUAAGCUAAAGCCUGGAAAGUCGUUAAAAAAGCCUAAAUUUCCUUCAUUUAUAACUACUGAACUCCCCUUGGAAGCAGGAGAAAAGGGGGGGGGGACUUUGUGUAACGCCUGCAGGAGAGGGAGUGAAGAAAGAUAAGUUUCCACCGUCUCUAACCUGGGAACGGGGUGUCAGAGACAGAAAUUGUUGGAGAGGUUCAUUGACUGUGAAUGGAAUACUUUGACAGAUAGCUGAAGAAGAGAAAUAAACUGAUUCCAAUGUUGCCUUUUGCAUUCUAAAGAAACAAAAUAUCUGAAAAAUGAAAGUAAUUUUCCUUUGUUGGACUUGCCUUAAAAAGAUGGAUACAAAUAGAAAUUGUCUCCUCUAGAGGGAGCCUGCUAAAUUGUUGCUGCAGUCUACUUGAGGAUUCCACAGCUGUGAGAUUAAGAUCGUGGGAUUAGUCCUUUUGACCUUGACUAAAUAUGAGCUGGAAGGAAGUUUUGGUGCUUGCUUUAUGCAAGACAAGUGCUUUGUUGGAACAGAUGCAUGAGAAGAUGGAUUUGAUGAAUGAGAAAAUGGAUUUGAUGACUGUUGUGGCCAAUAACUGUGGACAAAUAGUGAAUAGUGAUACAGAAACCAUCCAGGAUCCAACUCAGGAACCUGUAUUGAUUGGGCAAGUGCAGAAGAUAAUGGAGGAGGCUGCGGUUGCACCUCAAAUAAUACAAAUGGAGAGGCCCAAGGCCCUACAGGAGCAUAAGCCGCUGUUUUUGAAGAUUGAAGUUGGAGUCGGCCAGGGGGAGUCUGGAGCUGAGGAGGCUUUUAACUUUGGAGAGACUUCGAAAUAUGCUCGUAAAUAUUUUUUGGAUUAUAUUGAUGACUGUGGGGAGUGGGACUGUGGGGAAUGGGCUGGUUUGAUGAAGGGAGACGGAGAUAACUUUGGGUUGGAACCCCCCAGAGACCUACUCCUCAAUGAGAAAGGAAAGAAAUUAAGAAAGAGACCAACAAAAGACAAGGAAAAGUGCAAGUAUAAACAAGAAGAAGAAGAUCUGCAGAAGGGACAUGGAAGAGACUUAAGGGCCUCGGACAUAAGACUUCCAGGUUGAUGGACUAGAUGGAAUGGACAGUAAGGACUGACACGACCCGAGACCAGGAAGAAGAGACGUUGGAUGAAGAUUGGAAGAAAAUUUAUAAAGAAAAUUUUUUAUUUAGGGAAUUAGCCUAAAAUUAAUGAAUAUUAGGGAAAAUGUAGGAAUGAAACUAUAUGACUCUAGCAGAAAUGAUAUCAGGAGUUAUGUAUAACUGAGUAUUAAGUUUUAAGCUUUAAGGUAUUUUAGGGUAAGAUAAGGUUAAAUAAAUUAAGGUAAUUUGAAUAACAGAAUAUGGGGAAAGAUGGAAAGGAUCUGUCGAGUUAAUUAAUAGGUUAAAUUGUUAAGAUAAAUUAUCUAACAAAAAUUGAGAAAGAUGGAAAGAAUUUGCUGAAAUAACUAACUAAACUAGAAUACCAAAAGGGAGGUGUGAGGAGGUCAACGAAACAAGCAAAUGGAAGUUAAAGAUAUGUAAUAUGGGAUUUGUGUCUUUUUUCCUUUUUUUCAUUUUCUUUUUUGCUGUAUUGUUGUAUUGGUUUUUAUGUUUUGCGUUUUUUCUUCUUUUUAUGUAUUGCAGUGUUGUUGUUGUUGUUGUUUUCUGUAAUUUUGAAAUUAUUAAUAAAUAUUAUUU